rnacentral:rRNA from 1 species
CCUAAAAGGUAACGGAGGCGCUCAAAGGUUCCCUCAGAAUGGUUGGAAAUCAUUCAUAGAGUGUAAAGGCAUAAGGGAGCUUGACUGCGAGACCUACAAGUCGAGCAGGGUCGAAAGACGGACUUAGUGAUCCGGUGGUUCCGCAUGGAAGGGCCAUCGCUCAACGGAUAAAAGCUACCCCGGGGAUAACAGGCUUAUCUCCCCCAAGAGUUCACAUCGACGGGGAGGUUUGGCACCUCGAUGUCGGCUCAUCGCAUCCUGGGGCUGUAGUCGGUCCCAAGGGUUGGGCUGUUCGCCCAUUAAAGCGGUACGCGAGCUGGGUUCAGAACGUCGUGAGACAGUUCGGUCCCUAUCCGUCGUGGGCGUAGGAAAUUUGAGAGGAGCUGUCCUUAGUACGAGAGGACCGGGAUGGACAUACCUCUGGUGUACCAGUUGUCGUGCCAACGGCAUAGCUGGGUAGCUAUGUGUGGACGGGAUAAGUGCUGAAAGCAUCUAAGCAUGAAGCCCCCCUCAAGAUGAGAUUUCCCAACUUCGGUUAUAAGAUCCCUCAAAGAUG